rnacentral:lncRNA from 1 species
CAAGGGUUAAUCUGUCCCAAAUUCAUCAUUGUGACAGCCAAGUUCACAAAUAAGUCCUGCCUGAGGCUAUCCUGACCUUGCCAUUUAAUGUUCAGAUUUGAUAGAGACCCAGGGAAACUGAGGACAGACUGCACACCUGUUCUCUGUACCCUGUCAUCUCUAGGUCUCUGAAGUGACGCAUCAAAAGUUCUGCUGAUGUGAGCCCUCACUGUCACAUUCAUACACCACCCUCACCAAGAUGCCCCCAACCCUGCUCCAGACAACAGCUUGGAAAUUCUUGACUGGUCUACAAAGGAGUAUAAGUGGAGUAUAGUGGUACCCACCUCAGUACCCAGGAAGUUGAAGCAGGAGGAUUACAACUUUGAGGCCAAGUAAG